AUGCGAGUCAUUGUAGCAAUACAAGGCAUACGGCUCAGUAACGCGUAGUCAACCUAACCUAUGGACGGAAAUAACCUCGGGAAACUGAGAAUAAUGUCCGAUAGGACACUAUACCUGGAAUGGUUUGUGUUCCAAAUGAUUUAUCGCCGUAGGAUGGGACUGCGGCCUAUCAGUUUGUUGGUGAGGUAAUGGCCCACCAAGACUAUUACAGGUACGGGCUCUGAGAGGAGUAGCCCGGAGAUGGGUACUGAGACACGGACCCAGGCCCUAUGGGGCGCAGCAGGCGAGAAAACUUUGCAAUGUGCGAAAGCACGACAAGGUUAAUCCGAGUGAUUUGUGCUAAACGAAUCUUUUGUUAGUCUUAGAACCACUAACGAAUAAGGGGUGGGCAAGUUCUGGUGUCAGCCGCCGCGGUAAAACCAGCACCUCAAGUGGUCAGGAUGAUUAUUGGGCCUAAAGCAUCCGUAGCCGGCUCUGUAAGUUUUCGGUUAAAUCUGUACGCUCAACGUACAGGCUGCCGGGAAUACUGCAGAGCUAGGGAGUGGGAGAGGUAGACGGUACUCGGAAGGAAGGGGUAAAAUCCUUUGAUCUUUUGAUGACCACCUGUGGCGAAGGCGGUCUACCAGAACACGUCCGACGGUGAGGGAUGAAAGCUGGGGGAGCAAACCGGAUUAGAUACCCGGGUAGUCCCAGCUGUAAACUAUGCAAACUCAGUGAUGCAUUGACUUGUGGUCAAUGCAGUGCUGCAGGGAAGCCGUUAAGUUUGCCGCCUGGGAAGUACGUACGCAAGUAUGAAACUUAAAGGAAUUGGCGGGGGAGCACCACAAGGGGUGAAGCCUGCGGUUCAAUUGGAUUCAACGCCGGAA
rnacentral:rRNA from 1 species